GCUCAUUCCCAUCUCUGCACGGGGGCUGCAGAGGUUGGUUGUGUCUCUGCACUCGGGAAUGGGUCCCCCGGCCACAGCCCAGCAGCACAAGAAGGGGUCAGGGGAUGGUGCACCGGGGGCUUCAGUGAGCUGCCUUGGGUUGACCCUGGCUGGACUCCAAGUGCUCACCAAAGCUGCUCUGUUACUGUCCUCCUCAGCUGGAGAAAGAGCGAGUUCUGAAUGUGGACCAGAGAACUCCUACACACUAGGAUAGGUUGGGAAGUGGCUGAUAAAAAGCCAUGAAUGAACCGAGAUGAAUGUGAGCAAUCCUCGAAAAUAAAGCAAGUCACCUGCCGGGCAAGAUGUUCAUCAGAUAGUAAUUAUCCCCCUACUGGUGAAGCAGCACCUGGAAUACUGUCUCCAGUUUCAGCUUCCCAGUUCAAGAAGGAUGUUGAAAACACGGCCCAGUGGAAGGCUACUGAGAUGAUGAGAGACCCUACAGCAUACAAGCUAAGAAGAGAGGUUGAGGGAGGUAGUCUUGUUUAGCCAUAUGAAGAGAAAGUGAUGGGAUGAUUUAAUGGGAGCCAGCAACUACCUAAAGGUGAGUUAUGAAACUAAUGGAGCCACUACAAGAAACAACCACCACAAAUUCCAGGUUGCAAGGUUCAGGGUUGGACAUUAGGAAGAGCUUCUUCUCCAAGAGGGUGGCACAGCUCUGGAACAGGCUGCCAGAGCUGCUGUGGAGUCUCUAUCCACACCUUGGUGCUAGCCCAGCCAGCACCUUGGUGAGCACCUUGUUUAGUGCUGGUAAUGAUGCUCCUCUGAGUGGGAGGGUGGAUUAGUGACCCCCAGAGAUCCCUUACAACUAACGCUGUGUGUUGGAGCACGGGCAAUAAGACACCAAUGAUAACCACAGCUGUUGGCAUUUCUUAUGUUCUAUGAGUGCUUAAUGCACAGACAACAGAAGUCUGUGAGCAUUUUUCUGUACAAUGAAUAAGUUUAUGGAAGCACACAACUUAGUUACUAACCUAACACCAACAUCACACACAACUGUUCUUUAUUUUUGGGGGUAAACAGGCUUGAAUCACUUUUUUCACUAAUACAGAGACAAGUCACAGGGCCUUGACCUACGUGGUAUGUAAAAGCUGUGCUGCAAUCCAAAUGGUCAGCGAGAAUUUAUGCCUAGUGUAACUUCGCUGCCUGCAGUAGACCUGUACAAGAGGACCAUGGAUCUCUGCUAUUGGAUAUGAAAAUGCGCAGUGUCAGAGCUGGAAGCUCUCCACUUCUCUCCAAACAGUCUCUGAACUGUGUGAAUCAAUGAGCUCUUAGUUCACUGAAGCGAAUGACUUGGCAGAAAAAAGGUUUCGAGCCUAUCUGAGACACUUCUACACAGCAGCUCUGCAGAAUAGAGCUGGGAAAUGUGGUUUUGUAGGUUAUUUCUCCUUGCUGAACUCCAAGUUUAUCAAGGCCUCUCUGAACUCAAGUUCUACAAGCCAAGAUGUCAACCCUGCUUUCUAAUUUAGCAUUGUCUGCUAAAUAGUGAGAUAGCCAAUAGUAGCAGAAAAACCUCUUAGUGCAAUGAACAUAGCACUUGUCUUGACAAGUAACAGUGAUUUCAAUCACAAAAUGGCAAUCCGGGAUAAUUAUUUUGCCACAGUAGAAAACUGCAAACAAAUGUAGAAGCAAAGGGAGAGUCAAGUCCCCUGAGGCUGUGAUCUGCACCAAGAUUCAAUCCAGACCCUAUCCAAUACAGUGAACACUACCUAAAAAGAGCACAAUCUCUAGUCUGCCUUAAUUAAAGAUUCAAAGUUGUCCUAAAGCUCUCCUGUUAGUAAUUUUAUUUAGACAUUUUCACAGAUAAUGUGAGAAAUUUGGCACCCAUGAAAGUCAGUGGAAGAACUCAAGUGACUUCUGUGGAAUUUUGAUUCACUCAAUAAAUUUGAUCGUAUCAGCUGCAAUGGCAGUUCUGGUUUUCCUUCAGGAACUGAAAUUUCAGCAUUGAUAGAUGACUUUGGAGGAGUCUUUGUCUGGUCAAGUUUUCAUUUCCAUUGCUUGAAGAUUUAAUGCUAAGCUAUUCCAAUUCCAGAGCCAAUCACAUGGAUGGUGCCAGGCCUGAUCCUGCAUAUGCUGAAGUCAACAGAAACGUUGGCAUUAAUGCAGGGUUUGUGAAAUGUCUCAGGACAACCUAACAUGGAAGUCUUUAUAAGCCAAAUAGUGAAAAAUCUGGAAAAAAUAAUAUAUAUGCUUUCCUGGUGAAGGAUUAAUACCAAGAGUUGGCUAGUUCUGCUUUGCUUGCAGUCUCACAGUGAAACUUCAGUGUUUCAUGUUCAGCUGCACUGCAAUGGCCUCUCUUUUAGGGUUAUUGUCAUACGGGAACAAAUGGACUGAAUUAUUUAGCAUGAGAUCAGAACAAGGCUUUCUGUAUUCAUCAACACACUAUCAGCUAAUGCAUGACACUGCACAUUGAACAAAGCUACUACUGAAAGCCAUAGUAAGUUGUGAUGGUACAUACAGCAUGGAAGCCCAGUACUGUAACAUUUCCUAUGUGUUUUAUUAUGGCAAAUAAGAGAUCGUUUCAAGACGAGAGGACGGAAGCUCAAAAUGUUCCUAGUAAUACUGUCACCAUAAGUUCAUUUUCAUGUUACACCUGCUUCUGCAGUGACUAAAUACAUGUUUACAUUUACAUGUUUUGUGUAGUCCACUAGUUCCAAAGUUUUUACAGAAUUUAUAUCUAGAACAUGAUGAAACCUAUUACUAUAUUCUAUAAUUUUUACAAAUUACACAUCCAAUUGUUCUGCUAUUGCUAUCUGCCUUCAAGAUCCUCACGAUGUGGGAGAAAUGUACAGAAUACAGAAAUGAAUUUGUUAGAUAUUCGUCAUGGUCCCUACUGAAAGUAAUGAUAGGUGUGCCUUCCUCUAAGUCCAGCAGCCUCCUAGAAAAGUUGAUGUAGUAAACUUACAAGCAAGAGGUGAUGUGUUGCUGUAGAGUGAGGAAUACAGGGAGUGACCUCACCGUGAAGACCAAGGUUAGAAGGGAGGUGUCCUCAGACCUCUGUGUGAGGUGACAAGUUUCUUUCUCCUUUUUAAUGUCUCAUUUCUCUCCUAGGGAAGAAAUACCAUCCUGGCAGUAACCACAUCAGCUCUAGUUUGCCUAAUUUCUGCUGUAGCAUGUCCAUGUCACGAUCACCAUCUGCUACUCUGUGCUGGUGAGGUUUUGUCAAGCAGUUUUGUUCACUCUGACUCAGGAAAAUCUCCACAGAUGUCAAUGAGAAGUGCAAUGUGGUGAAGGCUCAGUAGCAUUACCAGAUGCCUGAAGACCUUCCAGAGGGAACAUACCUGGUUUUGUCCACUCUGGAGGUAAACCAGCCCGGGAGAUAGCUCUGUGGACUAAAAGAACCACAGAGACUUCUUGGUACUGUACCUACAAAUUGGGGAACUGUGGUUUAACUGCUCUGUGGAAACCUCAGUAAGCUCCAAUGGUGCUUAUAGCCAGGAAUUCAAAAGAAAAUGCUGGCCGUUAGUACUGAAUCUGUUGCAAAAUAGAAAAUAUUUGGCUUAUUUGAAGGUUAAAUGUUUGCUGGUUCUAACAGCAGUAAAUGUUUUUGCCUAGAGCUUCCCAGCUGGCUUCCUCUUCUACUCUGACUCACUCUGUUUUGUCACACUUGAGAAGUAUUAAAGCCUAAAAAAGUCUUUGACAUUAUUUGUCAACUGUCUCGCAAACACAGUUUAAAAGGUACUGCAAGAUGUGGUUGUGUUUUCAGCUGCAGCUAUCAAGCCAGACAUUCUGUCAAACAGGGAAACCUUGUGGAGCUUUUUAUCCUGAGAAAACGUGAUCAGCUUCAAAGAGCAGCAGGAUGUUAUCUGGUACCAAAAUGACACUAAGAAUGACUUCGAAAUCUCU
rnacentral:lncRNA from 1 species